GUCAAUGUACCAGUCUAAGGAGCUUGGAAAGAUGAGCUUCUAGAACUUGUAUGUGAGGAGCAGGAGCUCCCUGAAGGAGAACCCCGGCCACGUCGUCAUUUUUUUUGAGGUUGUCCAUCGUCAAUGUACCAGACUAAGGAGCUUGGAAAGAUGAGCUUCUAGAACUUGUAUGUGAGGAGCAGGAACUCCCUGAAGGAGAACCCCGGCCAC